UUCGCCGUCAUUGGGGAGUAGCCACCCGCCGGCAUCGAUUCGGCGGGGUUCGCGUCAACAGACUUGGAUGGUUCCGGCCUCCGGCCGUUACCGCCAUGGCGCGCACGGCGACCAGAGGGUCGAC
rnacentral:sRNA from 2 species